rnacentral:lncRNA from 1 species
CCAUUCCUCAGGAUAAUCCUUCUCCCAGCCCAGUGGCUAAAGAAGUGGUUGAAGAACCAGUUGCUGCGCAGCAUGAAACUGUGCUAGAAAGGAUUCCGUCCCCUCAGCCUGUCGAAGCUGCUAUUCCUAACAAGUCACCAUCACCCAAGCCUACUGGUUCACCACAUCAUGGCGCAGAGGGCCACACUCCUGAGCCUAAUAAUGAAGAGUCUAAUGU